AUUGAACGCUGGCGGCAUGCCUUACACAUGCAAGUCGAACGGCAGCACGGGAGCAAUCCUGGUGGCGAGUGGCGAACGGGUGAGUAAAGUAUCGGAACGUGCCCAGUCGUGGGGGAUAACGUAGCGAAAGUUACGCUAAUACCGCAUACGAUCUAUGGAUGAAAGCGGGGGAUCGCAAGACCUCGCGCGAUUGGAGCGGCCGAUAUCAGAUUAGGUAGUUGGUGGGGUAAAGGCUCACCAAGCCGACGAUCUGUAGCUGGUCUGAGAGGACGACCAGCCACACUGGGACUGCGACACGGCCCAGACUCCUACGGGAGGCAGCAGUGGGGAAUUUUGGACAAUGGGCGAAAGCCUGAUUCAGCCAUGCCGCGUGCAGGAUGAAGGCCUUCGGGUUGUAAACUGCUUUUGUACGGAACGAAAAGGUUUGGCCUAAUAAGCUGAGCUCAUGACGGUACCGUAAGAAUAAGCACCGGCUAACUACGUGCCAGCAGCCGCCGUAA
rnacentral:rRNA from 1 species